rnacentral:rRNA from 1 species
CACGUAGGGGGCAAGCGUUGUCCGGAUUUAUUGGGCGUAAAGAGCUCGUAGGCGGUUUGUCGCGUCGAAUGUGAAAACCCGGGGCUCAACCCCGGGCCUGCAGCCGAUACGGGCAGCUAGAAUUCGGUAGGGGAGACUGGAAUUCCUGGUGUAGCGGUGAAAUGCGCAGAUAUCAGGAGGAACACCGGUGGCGAAGGCGGGUCUCUGGGCCGAAAUUGACGCUGAGGAGCGAAAGCGUGGGGAGCAAACAGG